AUUGAACGCUGGCGGCAGGCCUAACACAUGCAAGUCGAGCGAGCGGCGGACGGGGGUGUAAUGUAGGGGGAUCUGCCCGAUAGAGGGGGAUAUCUCCUGGAACCGGUGGAUAAUACCGCAUACUAUCGUAUGAACCCAUAUGGGAUUCAGUAGUAGGUGGGGGAAAGGCUCACCUAGGCGACGAGCUCUAGCUGGUCUGAGAGGAUGAUCAGCCACACUGGAACUGAGACACGGCCGAGACUCCUACGGGAGGCAGCAGUGGGGAAUAUUGCACAAUGGGCGCAAGCCUGAUGCAGCCAUGCCGCGUGUAUGCAGAAGGCCUGAGGGUUGUAAAGCACUUUCAGCGGGGAGGCGUUACCCGCAGAAGAAGCACCGGCUAACUCCGUGCCAGCAGCCGCGGUAAUUC
rnacentral:rRNA from 1 species